rnacentral:lncRNA from 1 species
CUCUAAACAUCACUAAAACAUGCAUAGGAAACACCCAAGAAACGGCUGGACAGGGCACUUUCGGCGGCACCUUCGGCGGCCGAAAGUCCCUUCCAGAGACGAAACUCGGGUAGGUUCGGCGGCAGGUUCGGCGGCCGAAACCCCUGGACAGAAACGAAAGUCCCUCCUUCGGGGGCACGUUCGGCAGCCGAAAGGCUGCCUCCCAUGCAGGUUCGGCGGCCGAAACUCCUUUCGGCGGCCGAACCUGGUCCCCUCUGGACGACAGGUCCGAUUCUGCCUAGCCAAAAACCGAACUCAAAACACCCAAAUCCUUACAUACUCUCUCCCAAUCAUGCAUACUCACUCCCACAUGCAUAAAGGGGCAUAAACU